AUGGAGGUUGCCUACCCCUACGGCGGGGAGCUCACGAGGAAACACGGCUUCGUGACAGGGCAGCCGUUUGACGCCAAGACCGGCAUCACCUCCGGCCCCAAGCGCGCGAGGGAGAUGGAGAUCCUUCGGCAGCGCUUCCAAGCAGAGCUCGUCGCCGUCCGUGGCCUCCUCCACAAGGCGGCCGCCGUGCUAGUUCCCGCCUUGUCCCCGUCGGCACCCCGCGUGCGCAGUCGUCCAGGGUUCUUGGCCGAGGAGGAGGAGCCGCCGGUCAAGAAGAGGAAGGCGUCUCCUCCCGUUCCUGUGAUCAAUCGCAAGAAGGCUCCAACGAAGAAGAAGAUGACGGCCUCUGAGAGGGAGAUGUUCGCGGAAGACCUGGAGCUGUUCGUUGCGGAAAUCCCCGAUCACCUCGUCGAGCUCUUGAAGAAGCACAGCUGCGCCACCCGUCCCGGCGAAAUCGAGAUCGACGUCCACGCGUUGGACGACGCCGCCGUCGUCGAGUUACAGGAGCAGGUUGACAAGUUCGCUCGAGAGAAGAGGGCGGCGAAUCCGUCGCCGCAAGAAUGGCACCAAGACGGCCCUACGGUGAUGGCCGAAGAGGGAGAGGAGGACGAAGAAGUUGACAUCUGUGGCGGCGUCUCCCCCUUAGCGAUCGUGCCGCAACGUCCGCUGCAAGAACGGCACCAAGACGGCCCUAAGUCCAUGGCCGAAGAGGAGGAGGAGGAGGAAGAUGUUGACAUCUGCGGUGGCGUCUCCCCGUUACCGAUCGUGCCGGCACCUCUGCUGCUCGUCGAAGAUGAAACAGCCAGCGGCAGCCCAAGCUCCAGCAGCAGCAGUUCGGAUACUGAUUCCAGCGACAGUGAUUCAGAUACUGAUUCCGGCAGCAGCGACUCGGGUUCAGAACACUCCGGCGGAAGUGACUCAGAUUCUGAUUCAGAUGAGAUCGUCGACAGCCCAGCUCCGGCCAUCACGCCUCCAACAGGCGAGCAGCUCGCCCGUGCUCUGGAAAGGCAGCGAAAGGAGGCCACGUCCAGGGCGAGGGAGAAGGCCCGUCAGGAGGUGCUUCAGACGGAGAAGAUGGCAAUGCCCGACGAUACUCUGCACCCAGAGGACCUGAAGAGGCUCGGCAUUGAUGAGUACAACACGGCGAGACCGAACAACUUGUUGCGGCAAAUUGGACUCUUCCGCAAGCUUGACGACGACGACUGGAAGCAGCAGCAGCAUUAUCAUCAUCGUCAAAGCUUCGAAGAAGACCUAGAGGAAGGCGAGAUUCGGUCGUGA
rnacentral:rRNA from 1 species